rnacentral:rRNA from 1 species
AAGGGAAUAUUGGGCAAUGGGCGAAAGCCUGACCCAGCCAUGCCGCGUGAGCGAUGACGGUCCUCGAGAUUGUAAAGCUCUUUUCUGAGGAAAGAACAUCCCGGGUAGGAAAUGCCCCGGGCUUGACGGUACCUCAGGAAUAAGGAACGGCUAACUCCGUGCCAGCAGCCGCGGUAAUACGGAGGUUCCAAGCGUUGUUCGGAAUUACUGGGCGUAAAGGGAGCGCAGGCGGACAAGUCAGUCUAAAGUGAAAUCCCGGGGCUUAACCUCGGACUUGCUUCGGAUACUGCUUGUCUUGAGUUCGUGAUAGGAAGAUGGAAUUCAGGGUGUAGCGGUGAAAUGCACAGAUAUCCUGAGGAACACCGGUGGCGAAAGCGGUCUUCUGGCGCGAAACUGACGCUGAGGCUCGAAAGCGUGGGUAGCAAACGG